rnacentral:rRNA from 1 species
UACGGGGGGGGGCAAGCGUUGUUCGGAAUUACUGGGCGUAAAGGGCUCGUAGGUGGCCAACUAAGUCAGACGUGAAAUCCCUCAGCUUAACUGGGGAACUGCGUCUGAUACUGGAUGGCUUGAGUUUGGGAGAGGGAUGCGGAAUUCCAGGUGUAGCGGUGAAAUGCGUAGAUAUCUGGAGGAACACUGGUGGCGAAGGCGGCAUCCUGGACCAACACUGACACUGAUGAGCGAAAGCCAGGGGAGCAAACGGGG